rnacentral:lncRNA from 1 species
UUGAGUUGAGGCUGGUGAAGAGGGGCAGAAGAAUAUGUUGACUGAACUGACACAUGGGUGAUAUGGUCUUGUUUAUAUCUCAUGACAUCUCAUUGACAAAAGAGAGCUAAAGACAACUGAUCAAGUCUUAGAAACUGGAACUGUUCCUGCUUCUCCCCUCCCUCCAUGGAGAGAAAUCAGUCUGCUCACCCUCUACCGUUCCCCUCAUAGACUGAAUUUGGAAAACUCUGAACAAUUAUAGUACGUGGCUCUGAGAUGGAGCUUCCCCCCAUCCCUUCCUAUGGUAAGCUAUAUUAGAUAUACAAAGGAAUAAACCUAUGCAACAUGGGCUUGGGUA